GCCUCACCUCGACACUGGCUGAUCUCGGUGCCUUCACCUGAACCAAGCAACGAGGCUUAAAUAAACAAAUGCCACCUUUCUACAAUGGAGUGGCUCCAAAGUGCUGCAAAUCAUGCCUUACUAAAUUAUGAAGACCUAAAGAGGAGUUAAGAUAUCGCACACUACUAGCUAGGUGAAGUAUUAAAGUGAAGUGAGCUAUAGAGAUCCCAGAAGAUGGCAUUUUUUCGUCGAAAUUGCAGGAAAAUAUUGGUCGAACACAACGGUAUGGUAGACUGUUCGUCUGUUCCGCAUACAUGCUCUUGACUCUGGACCGCAAACUUCAAUCUGUUUUGCUCUUUCCUGGGGACAAUAUAGCCGUCAAAGAAGGAUGCAAAGUCAGAAAGAAAAGUGGAACACUGCAGUUUGCUUCAUCUAUAAGCAGUAUAGAUGGUAACUCCACUCGUACUCGUAGAAUGUUCGGUGGCUUUUGGUUGAGAUAUUUUAGUGAAGGCUUCUCAAGCAUAACCUAUUGCCGUUUGCUCUUUGCUACAAUAAAAUAUAUCUUCACUAGCAUCUAGGCACUACUGGAGUAUCAGAAAAGCCGAAAAGAUGUAGACCAUGAGUCACCAACAUUUGGUUGAUCGAUAGCCUACUGAUGAGAAAAAUGACACAGAUGAGAAAACAAUCGCGACUCCCUCCGAUUCAUAUUAAUUGUCUCAAAUUUGCUCAAAUAUGGAUGUAUCUGUUUCUAAAACGUUUAGAUAUAUGUCAUAUUCCGACAACUAAUAUGGAUCGGAAGUAGUACACUUUUUCCUUCUUUCAAUACAACAGUGUACUUUUUACUUGGAAACACUGCUCAGGAUGGUAUUUGCCGCAUAUACCUCGUAGGACAAAGUGACAAACACACAGCAAACUGAGCAAAGGAUUGCGGAAUCCUCAUAUGUGCCAGAUUAUUUCUGGUACAUAUAUAGCACUACACUGAGCAUGCUCUCACGAAUAAAUCAUUCAAAUCAGUCAUCCAGAAAAUUCACAAUAAGCUACAUAUAGUUGAAGAGUUUUCCAAGAUUUUUGAGCAAAACCAAUCCGAGACUAACAAACUAGGAAUUCCUUAACAACAAACCAUGGAAAAAAAUGAAUAAGCUUCACCAAGUAGGCCAUAACCAAGUUAUUUAGGGAGCUCGGAACAAAGUUAGCCUGAAGAACAGCAUCAGAAAAAUAAAGUGAACUUGCAGCUUACAUUUUUCAGAUGUGUUUUUCUUACAAAAAUAUAAAUUGCUGAUUUUGACUAGGAAAUAAGACUACAGUACACAUGGUAUAAACAAGCAAUCACUUU